GACGUAGGGCGCGAGCGUUGUCCGGAUUUAUUGGGCGUAAAGAGCUCGUAGGCGGCUUAGUAAGUCGGGUGUGAAACCUCCAGGCUCAACCUGGAGACGCCACCCGAUACUGCUGUGGCUAGAGUCCGGUAGGGGAGCGUGGAAUUCCUGGUGUAGCGGUGAAAUGCGCAGAUAUCAGGAGGAACACCAGCGGCGAAGGCGGCGCUCUGGGCCGGUACUGACGCUGAGGAGCGAAAGCGUGGGGAGCAAACAGG
rnacentral:rRNA from 1 species